rnacentral:sRNA from 1 species
CUUUCUCUCCCAUGUCUCAACAGGACACAGAACAGCCAGACCUGCUGUACAGACGGCUUGCACUGCAGACAGCCCCAGAUCGCAGCACAUAGUGCCAGCAGCCGUGCAAACAGAGAUGGCUCAGAAGGCUUGGGUCCUUCUCCAAUUAGCUCGUGCCUGCAUAUAAAUAUUUGGAGAGUAGUGCGGUGUUUUGAAGGAACAAGAGAGAGAGUGAGAGAAAGGCACUAGAACACUGAAUCAGGACUGCUGAAGACUUUGAAAGGCACUAUGUUGGUCUUCCCUACGGAUGGAGGGUUUCCUGCGAUCUUAACCAUUCAACUGCCUCCUUCCCUGAAAGAAUUGAGCCAAGAUUCACAUAAGAUUCUUCAGGCAGGACACAGAACAGCCAGACCUGCAGACGGCUUGCACUGCAGACAGCCCCAGAUCGCAGCACAUAGUGCCAGCAGCCGUGCAAACAGAGAUGGCUCAGAAGGAUUGGGUCCUUCUCCAAUUAGCUCGUGCCUGCAUAUAAAAGAUUUGGAGAGUACUGCGGUGUUCUGAAUGGAAAAGAGAGAGAAUAAGAGAAAGGCACUAGAACUCUGAAUCAGGACUGCUGAAGACUUUGAAAGGGACUAUGUUGGUCUUCCCUACGGAUGGAGGGUUUCCUGCGAUCUUAACCAUUCAACUGCCUCCUUCCGUGAAAGAAUUGAGCCAAGAUUCAGAUAACAUUCUUCAGGCAGGACACAGAACAGCCAGACCUGCUGUACAGACGGCUUGCACUGCACACAGCCCCAGAUCGCAGCACAUAGUGCCAGCAGCCGUGCAAACAGAGAUGGCUCAGAAGGCUUGGGUCCUUCUCCAAUUAGCUCGUGCCUGCAUAUAAAAGAUUUGGAGAGUACUGCGGUGUUCUGAAUGGAAAAGAGAGAGAAUAAGAGAAAGGCACUAGAACUCUGGAUCAGGUAAGAAAAAAUACAGACACACACACGCACACGCACACACACACACACACACACACACACACACACCCAGACACACUCACCUGAAUUUUAGUAACCAAAUAGAUAUCCUUGGUUUUCCUGAACUGCCAUUUUGAAUAGUUCCCAAGGAAUACAUGUAAAACACAAUUUUCAUUAUUACAAUUUCAACUAUCUUUGUUUACUAUGUCUUCUGAGAAGACAGGACUCUCAGGAAAAACAAAACAGUAUAAGUAAUUAAGGAGAGUACAAGCAAAGGUUUUACACAACAAAAACAUACAGGAAAGGGAAGUAUGGACACAGGAGCUAGAAAGGUUGCUAGAACAAAGCUUCCGAACUUCAUAUAUCAGACCCAAGAACAGAGAAAUAACAAUAAAUUUUGGAAGCUGAGCCUAGAGAACGGUUUAGAGGUUGAAAAUUAAAAUUAGGGAGAUACAGAGAGAAACAAUGACAAAUUUGGAAGAGAGAGGGAUAGGGAGAGAGAGAAAGAGAGAGAGGCAAAAGAAAAGAACCGGUGAGAACAUAGAGAGCUGUAGUAGUAUGCAGUCCUUUUAUACAAAACCCAUGAGUAGUACAAUUGGUGGCAGUGAUGUCUUUGGGCUCCAGUGAGUAUUGGGGAUGACAUUAAACCCCUUUGAGAUAACAGAGAAGUCUUUCAGACACAGCCUUCCUGAAAACCUUGGAAAGCCUUAAGUCCAGAAAUAUACUUGGUCAGAAUUGAGGUGCCAACGUGAAUUUCAGAAACUCUGUAGAAGGAAGAAACUCCUUAGGGGAAGGUCUUAGGUCCCACGGAGAUCCUGAGAAGGUCUGAGCACUGAAGUAGAACCUUAGGAAGGAAUCCAUAGAGGUCCGAGUACUGAGGACGGCCCUGGAUCCCUGUGACUCCCUAAAGAGGUCUUAGUGAAUGGUGAGAGGUAAAGGCCUUCUCAUACUCUCAGAAACUUGGAAACCCUCUGGGAACAGAUGAGUACUCAAGAGACAUUAUUCUGCAAGGAAGUCCAGUGAGAGUCUCAAAAUAUUUACAUUCAAGUUAGCAUCUUAUGACGGCCAUGAGCCCCAGUGAGUGUCAUGAGCAGGGAGGAAGGUAUUUGUCCUCUUAGCAAAAGACAAGUGGUCUUCCUGAGGUUCUCCACCCAUGGUUCCCACAAGUUCCUAACCACUAUGCUAUUCCUCCCUGUUCAAGGCUGCUCAGUCUAUGGCAGUUCCAAGUUUUCCUUACGAUCUAUAGCCCCCAGGUGGUUGUACCUGAAUCCAAGAACUUCCGCAGUAUGACAAACAUAAUUUUUGAAAAAGCCUUUGAGUCAUAAGAUAAAAAAGCUUAAAUUCUGGAAACCCACAGUGCCCAGCCUGUGCCUGAUAAUCAGACUGCAGGUAUAUCAAUUACUAGAGAUAAUCUGACAUGUGACAGAACAAAGUGACAAUGCCACCUCCCCACUUGAGAGUAUAUAAUCAGAGAACAAAAGUAAUGCAUAGUACUUUGCCCUUACAGGACUGCUGAAGACUUUGAAAGGGACUAUGUUGGUCUUCCCUACGGAUGGAGGGUUUCCUGCGAUCUUAACCAUUCAACUGCCUCCUUCCGUGAAAUAAUUGAGCCAAGAUUCAGAUAAGAUUCUCCAGGCAGGACACAGAACAGCCAGACCUGCUGUACAGACGGCUUGAACUGCAGACAGCCCCAGAUCGCAGCACAUAGUGCCAGCAGCCGUGCAAACAGAGAUGGCUCAGAAGGCUUGGGUCCUUCUCCAAUUAGCUCGUGCCUGCAUAUAAAAGAUUUGGAGAGUACUGCGGUGUUCUGAAUGGAAAAGAGAGAGAAUAAGAGAAAGGCACUAGAACUCUGAAUCAGGACUGCUGAAGACUUUGAAAGGGACUAUGUUGGUCUUCCCUACGGAUGGAGGGUUUCCUGCGAUCUUAACCAUUCAACUGCCUCCUUCCGUGAAAUAAUUGAGCCAAGAUUCAGAUAAGAUUCUUCAGGCAGGACACAGAACAGCCAGACCUGCUGUACAGAAGGCUUGCACUGCAGACAGCCCCAGAUCGCAGCACAUAGUGCCAGCAGGCGUGCAAACAGACAUGGCUCAGAAGGCUUGGGUCCUUCUCCAAUUAGCUCGUGCCUGCAUAUAAAAGAUUUGGAGAGUACUGCGGUGUUCUGAAUGGAAAAGAGAGAGAAUAAGAGAAAGGCACUAGAACUCUGAAUCAGGACUGCUGAAGACUUUGAAAGGGACUAUGUUGGUCUUCCCUACGGAUGGAGGGUUUCCUGCGAUCUUAACCAUUCAACUGCCUCCUUCCGUGAAAUAAUUGAGCCAAGAUUCAGAUAAGAUUCUCCAGGCAGGACACAGAACAGCCAGACCUGCUGUACAGACGGCUUGCACUGCACACCGCCCCAGAUUGCUGCAUAUGCAGCCAGCAGCUGUUCAAAUAAACAGACAUGGCUCAGAAGGCUUGGGUCCUUCUCCAAUUAGCUCGUGCCUCCAUAUAAAAGAUUUGGAGAGUACUGCGGUGUUCUGAAUGGAAAAGAGAGAGAGUAAGAGAAAGGCACUAGAACUCUGAAACAGGACUGCUGAAGACUUUGAAAGGGACUAUGUUGGUCUUCCCUACGGAUGGAGGGUUUCCUGCGAUCUUAACCAUUCAACUGCCUCCUUCCGUGAAAUAAUUGAGCCAAGAUUCAGAUAAGAUUCUUCAGGCAGGACACAGAACAGCCAGACCUGCUGUACAGACGGCUUGCACUGCACACCGCCCCAGAUUGCUGCAUAUGCAGCCAGCAGCUGUUCAAAUAAACAGACAUGGCUCAGAAGGCUUGGGUCCUUCUCCAAUUAGCUCGUGCCUGCAUAUAAAAGAUUUGGAGAGUACUGCGGUGUUCUGAUUGUAAAAGAGAGAGAGUAAGAGAAAGGCACUAGAACUCUGAAUCAGGACUGCUGAAGACUUUGAAAGGGACUAUGUUGGUCUUCCCUACGGAUGGAGGGUUUCCUGCGAUCUUAACCAUUCAACUGCCUCCUUCCGUUAAAGAAUUGAGCCAACAUUCAGAUAACAUUCUUCAGGCAGGACACAGAACAGCCAGACCUGCUGUACAGACGGCUUGCACUGCACACCGCCCCAGAUUGCUGCAUAUGCAGCCAGCAGCUGUUCAAAUAAACAGACAUGGCUCAGAAGGCUUGGGUCCUUCUCCAAUUAGCUCGUGCCUCCAUAUAAAAGAUUUGGAGAGUACUGCGGUGUUCUGAAUGGAAAAGAGAGAGAGUAAGAGAAAGGCACUAGAACUCUGAAACAGGACUGCUGAAGAUUUUGAAAGGGACUAUGUUGGUCUUCCCUAGGGAUGGAGGGUUUCCUGCGAUCUUAACCAUUCAACUGCCUCCUUCCCUGAAAGAAUUGAGCCAAGAUUCAGAUAAGAUUCUUCAGGCAGGACACAGAACAGCCAGACCUGCUGUACAGACGGCUUGCACUGCACACCGCCCCAGAUCGCUGCAUAUGCAGCCAGCAGCUGUUCAAAUAAACAGACAUGGCUCAGAAGGCUUGGGUCCUUCUCCAAUUAGCUCGUGCCUGCAUAUAAAAGAUUUGGAGAGUACUGCGGUGUUCUGAAUGGAAAAGAGAGAGAGUAAGAGAAAGGCACUAGAACUCUGAAUCAGGACUGCUGAAGACUUUGAAAGGGACUAUGUUGGUCUUCCCUACGGAUGGAGGGUUUCCUGCGAUCUUAACCAUUCAACUGCCUCCUUCCCUGAAAGAAUUGAGCCAAGAUUCAGAUAAGAUUCUUCAGGCAGGAUACAGAACAGGCUGACCUGCUGUACAGACGACUUGCACUGCACACAGCCCCAGAUCGCUGCACAUGCAGCCAGCAACAAUGCAAACAAACAGAGAUGGCUCAGAAGGCUUGGGUCCUUCUCCAAUUAGCUCGUGCCUGCAUAUAAAAGAUUUGGAGAGUACUGCGGUGUUCUGAAUGGAACAAGAGAGAGAGUGAGAGAAAGGCACUAGAACUCUGGAUCAGACAGAGAAUGUUGUCCUCUUUGAGAAACCCCCCCUUCACCCCUAGCAGCUGACUCAGACAGAUACAGUGGAUGAAGCUUUGGAACUCUUAUGGAAGAAUAGGAGGAAGGAUUUCGAGCUCCAAAGGGGAUAGGAGUUCCACAGGAAGGCCGACAGAGUCAACAAACUUGGAUCCUUGGUGCUUUCAGAGUCUGAAGCACCAUCCAAAGAGCACACCCAAGCUGCACUUAGGCCUCCCCACUCACAUGUAGCAAUCAUGCAGCUUGAUCAUCAUGUGGGUUCUGAACAACAGGAACAGGGGCUAUUUUAAAAGCUGUUGCCUGGAAAGGAUUGAAGGAGUUGAAGGGGAUGGCAUAAGAACAACAACAGUAUCAACUAACCUGGAUCCCUGGGCGCUCCCAGAAACUGAACUAACAAUCAAAGAUAUACACUGGUUAAUAAGGCUAUCAGCAUAUAUGUAACAGAGGACCACCUUGUCUGGCCUCAAUGGGAAAGUAUGCACAAUCUGGCCUCAGUGGGAGAUAAUCUUCUUGUGCACUCUGUACAGAUUGUCUCUAUUGUUUCAAGUGUUGAUUUCUGGACCAGCAGAAUGCUUUCUGAACUGUUAUUUUUAUGAAGCAUCACCUAUCUCGUUGUUUUCUAAACAUUCUUCUGCAGCACAUUCUGACUUGUUUAAUAAAGAGCUGAUGGCCUAUAUCAGAGCAGGAGAGAGAAAAUGGAACAUCAGAAAAGAGAGAGGAACUCUAGGAAGGAGUCAGGUGGAGGGAUUCACCAGUCAAACACAGAGGAAGGAGCAGGUGCCAGAACUGAAGGGGAGAGAACGUGAUACAUGGCAGAACUUAGAUUAGAAAAUUAAUUAAAAGAAGGUUAAUUAAAUUAUACAAGCCAGUUAGGAACAAGCCUAAGCUAAGGCCUGAGAUUAAUAAGUCUGUCAUUAUUGGAAGAGGUCAGGUUGAGACAGUCUGGUGGUACUCUUGAGCUGAAGGGCUUCGCUUAGAGGAAAUCAGCAAGCAGUUUUUCUUUUUUUAUGGAGACUUCCUUUUUGGCAAAUCAUAGAAGCCUUGUUAGAGUUAGCAUUUUGUGACCAUUUCCUGCCUGGUUUCUCGACUCUGGCUGCACAGUACUCCAUCUAAUGAAUGGGGAGAACCUGAUGUGGUUUGUAUAUCCCUGUUCAGGCCAGAGACAUCCCAUUGCCCUCUCGUUCUUUCUGGUUAGAUAGUACAAACUUGGAGUCAUGUAGAUGCCCUGGUAAGACCAGGGGGAGCUUAGUUCAAUAGAGUUCCAAAGGCUAGGAACUGUAAGGUAUUCUGUGAGAUUAGGGGCAAAAGCUAAAGAUUUGGAUAGACCCAGCAUGAGAUUUGGGAACUGGGGAAGACUCAGAGCCACCCAGCCUUUGAUGGGUGCCUAGCAUCUGGAUGGUACAAGAAAGAAUUGUUAAAUGUCAUUGUCCGUGUACUCUAUUGUCAUUGGCUCUGUUUUCUGUUGUUGCUUGGGCCUUAUGUCUUGUGUGUCUGGUCUAUCUUCAUGUUUCUGACUUGAGAUGGUAUGGAAACCUUGCACCCAUAAGCCAGGCACCAAUGAUUCCACCCCACCUCCUACCCUGGGUCUAGUUGGAAUGAGGUCGGAUCAUGCUAUCUGCAAGCUGCUUUUGGAAAAGUCACUCCCAAUAUGGAGUUUUGAGGGAGUAGGAUUUGCUUGGAACCUGUAGGCUUAGAUUUUUUUUUUCAAAACCUACUUUAAUUAGGGUUCUUUAACCCUUCAAUAUCGGGUUGGGGAUUUAGCUCAGUGGUAGAGCGCUUGCCUAGCAAGCACAAGGUCCUGGGUUCAGUCCUCAGCUCCAGAAAAAAAAAAAGUCACAAACCCUUCAAUAUCCCUUCUAGCGGACCUACCAGAGGUAGGGGGAAAGAAAGGUUAAUAGGAAACAGAGGUCGUAGACCUGUUUAGAAGUAACCCUUUGGGGGAUAUCCCAGUCUUUGUUGUCAGGAUAUAAGCAGCCCAGUCCAAAACAUCAAACGUCAGUCGGUAGUGGCAAUGCAGUCUAAUUGGCAAACACCAAACAUGAAUCAGUAGCAGCAGCUCAAUCCAGCCGAAAUAGCAUGAAAAGUUUUUGGCAAGUUUCUAUGAAGUCACAAGCAAAGGUCCUUGACUUGGUACAAAGCAAACCAAUACAAGAGCCUGGUCUCUCUGUUAUAUUUGUAUUCUUUCUAAUCAUCACGUGUCCUUUCAUGUGUCUGCCUCAACAACACAUUCCUUCACCUAUCUACUUCAGCAAAACAGCCUCUCACCUGUCUGCUUCAGCAAAACAUCACAUGACAUAACUGAGUCUCCAAAGAAACCAGGAACUUCCACUUUAGGGACCAGUGGUUAUUGUUUAAAAACCCAGAGUCCCAUGAGGAAAACAGCGGCCAAUCCUAUUACAGCACCACUGUCCCUGAGAAAAUGGGAUUCAGCAGCUGUGAGGAGCGCCUACGCUGAAAUUCCAGCACUGGAGGAGGACUACUUAACAAACAAACUGCAACCAAUGGCAUCAACCACCAAUCUACCAACCUGUGCCUCCUGCAUCAAGGCCAUAACAUUUAUAUAUCUAUAAAUAAAACUAUUAUUCAUCUGA